rnacentral:rRNA from 1 species
UACAGAGGUCUCAAGCGUUGUUCGGAUUCAUUGGGCGUAAAGGGUGCGUAGGCGGCGCGGUAAGUCGGGUGUGAAAUCUCGGGGCUUAACUCCGAAACUGCAUUCGAUACUACCGUGCUUGAGGACUGGAGAGGAGACUGGAAUUUACGGUGUAGCGGUGAAAUGCGUAGAUAUCGUAAGGAAGACCAGUGGCGAAGGCGGGUCUCUGGACAGUUCCUGACGCUGAUGCACGAAGGCCAGGGGAGCAAACGGG